AUGGGGGAAGGAAACAAAUCAAAAAGCAAAACAAAACAAAACAAAAAAAAAAAAAAAAAAAGAAGAAGAAGAACCACCUGGGAGUAUCUUCUGAUUCUGUGUACUUUAAGUCCCUUGGCUUCUCCUGGAAGUUGUCCUUCUAGCUGGUGUUCUGGGGGAGGGGCCUGCUGUGCUGAUUUUCAGGUGUUAGCAGUUGGGGGAGCUGCUGUGCCCCUGCCUGGUGCAGGGCUCAGUGGGGGUUGUUUGCCCCGUGAGGCCGCAGGAGGAACAGCCCCAGUGGCGGGGCAGCUCUGGAAACCUGGAUUCAGCUCCGGCAGGAACUCCGUCUGCAGGGCCUGGAGGCUCCGGGGCGGGGCCGCUGAUCUGCUCAGCUGGGGCAGGAGCGUCCUCGCUGUCCUGGGCCCUCCCGGCCUCUGCCUGUCCCGGGGGAGGCCGGAUCCUGGGCUGUGUCCCGGCGCCCUGUGCUCCGGAGCCUGCGCUGGUGGAUUCGCGCUCCCGGGCCGCGCAGCCCCCUCCGCGGAGCCGCCGCCCAAGUCCCUCCGAGCUGCUCCUGGAACCGCGCAGCCCCCUCCGCACGGAGCCUCUUCCUCUGCCCGAGCCCCUCCGAGCUGCUCCCGGGGCUGCGCAGCCCCCUCCGCGGAGCCGCCGCCCGAGCCCCUCCGAGCUGCUCCUGGAACCGCGCAGCCCCCUCCGCACGGAGCCUCUUCCUCUGCCCGAGCCCCUCCGAGCUGCUCCCGGGCCGCGCAGCCCCCUCCGCGGAGCCGCCCCCGAGCCCCUCAGCUGCUCCGGGUCCCGCCGUGCGCGCUGCAGCCCUUAGGGAGCUCGGCGCACUCUCCUGGGCGCGCAGUUGCUGUUACUGUCCCCGGGAGCCCGAGGGCAUCCCCGCCCUCCUGGGUCCUGCUCCAACUCCCUGCGAGCCCCUUUCCGCCCGGGAAGGUCGGUGCAGCUCCUGCGUCUCCGGGACGGGGCUCUCCUGUCCUGGGGACACUCGCCCCGGCCUCAGCCCGGCUCCUCGCGGGGCCCCUCCCCCUUGGAGGCUUUUGUUUUUUUAUUUCUUUUCCCCCGUCUUCCUACCUUGAUAGAAGCGCGAACUCUUCUCACUGGAGCAUUCCAGCUGGUCUCUCUUUAAAUCUCAGGCCGAAUUCAUAG
rnacentral:lncRNA from 1 species